UAUACAUACAUUAAGUUUUAGUUUAAUUAAAUUUAUAUUUGUACUUUGACGUAAUUUUACAAACUGAGAUUUUAAAAGAAUAUUAAGAGGUGAAAGGAACACAUGCUUAUGCUACGCUUUUCACACGUGUGUGCGAGCACCGCAAAAUAUUCUAAUCUCGUGUGAACAGCCCACGUGAAGCCCAAGCACGAGUCGCACCCAAUGAGAGAGCUGAUUACAAACCCAUCUAAAGCCCAAGCUUAUUCUCGAUAAAUGAAACUCUCCAGGAGCAGAAACUACCUAUCUAUCUAUCUAUCUAUAUAUAUGCGAUCUAUCUAUCUAUCUAUAGAUAUGCGACACAAAGCAAGCAAAACCUCCUAUUAUAGCAAGAAAAUUCGCAAACAAAAACAUAAAACUUAGAGAAGAUAAGUCCACUUGCAAAGUUCAGCCAGAAUUCCUACUGUAACCAUAAAAAAACUAUCUGUUCACACAGGUAAUUUAUUCUUCAUCCUCUUCAUCUCCAUCUCCACCUGCGGCCUUCUUGGCAGCAGCCUUGAUGUUCCUUCUCUUCACUCUUCCAGGGCGGCCACCUCCGAAUGGACUUGUCAGUGAGAAUUCAAUGUGCUUCUGGGAAUCAACCCUCACUACAAAUGAGGGAAUGUUGACAAGCUGCCUUCCAACCCUGAUAAUCAGAAAUAUAGAUAUUCAUUAAUAUACAAAAUAACCACACUUAAAGACCUCAAAACAAUCUUACUAAAACAUUAAGGUUAGAACAUCAAAGCAACCCAGCUCAAAUAAGCUUUGAGAAAAAAGAACAUAUCAUUACUGUAUACAUUCACAGAGAAACAGUCGGCUAAUUGACCAACAGAAAAAAAAAAAAGUUUUAACUUCCUUGUCACAAAUUGAAAAAAUAAGAUCUUGACAAAGACAAAAUCAAAUAAGACGACUCAAAGGGACAGGGCCUAGCAACAUUAAAGCAAUCAAAUAGAUAAAAAAACGCAACAAAUUUUAUGAAAAAAACCAAAAGCAGUCCUGAUGUCAGCAGUGACAGAAUUUGAAUACACCAAUUAACAAAGCCAAAAGCAUUUUGGGUAGUGCAUGCACGGCAUAUUAAUGCCCCAAGAAUACAAAGGUAAACAAUCAAACUUGCUAAACAUUAUAAUAUCCAAAAGAUCAUCCACAAUACUGGUAAACCAUACAUGCUAGAAUCAUUACAUAUAUUAUGACACUACAAUUAUCAAUUAGUGGGCAAGUUUCAAAUAUUAUAAUUAUAACCUGAACGUGUAUAAAAACACAAUUCACAAACUCGAGAUAAUUUAACAAAUUUUAAAGCCAAAAACCAAAUGUCAGCUUAACAACCCAAAGGCAACUAGAAAAUAAUCAAAUAAUUAAAGAUCAGUAAGUAAUGGUUAAAACCAACAAACUCAGUAAUAGGCAUCCAGAUGGAACAAGCAAUUUAAAUUCAUGUUGGUCAAAUGUUAGCAUAAUAGAAAAGAAACAAAUGAGAAAAAGCAUUUGAAGAUUUUACAGACACUGAAAAAAGCAGAUACGGACUAAAAGGAGACACAGUGCAUAAAUUAUACCUAAUGUGCCUCUGCCUGAUGAGCACUCGAGCAUGGUGAAUUGACUUAGCCAUGCCACUCUUGAACACAAGGGUCUGGAGACGACGCUCAAGAAAGUUCUCCACAGUGAGGGCCAACACAUAAUCAAGCUUGUUCUGGCUCUCUUCCAAGAAGCCGUACCUGUGCAUCCUCCUGAGAAGAGCCUCACCCUCGAAAAUACGGCGUGGGUUCUUCUCAUCGAGAGUGAGAAGAUCCCUCGCAGCAUUUCGGAUGCGGCUCAGUGCAUAUUGAACCCUCCAGAGUUCCCUCUUGCAGCGAAGCCCAUACUCUCCCACAAGUCUCAACUCAGCAUCCAAUCGCUCCUUCUCAUAGGGACGUCUUGGCUUCUUGAAGGUUUUCCCAUCUGUUCACACAUCGAUUCAUAAUCAAUCAUAAGCUCAAAUAUCACAAGAACCGGUAACCAUCAACAAUUAAUACGUCAUAGAAGAGUACUAUAAUGAGCUUUAAACAAUUCCCGACUUCAUCUGCACACAAAUAUAAUACCGGCUACCAAACAUUCUACUGGCUAAACCUAAAAAAACAGAUGCUCAAUUACCGAUAUUUGGAUCAGAUAGUACAUACAAAAAGCUCUCAAGUUUCCUUCACGUUCUUUGGAUCCAAACAAUAAUAUUACACAACACUGACAAACGAGAUCGAGACGGUAUCAAAGUGAAACAAGUAUCAUAUACAAAGUAUUUUAUUAUUAUUUAACAAAGAGAACAAUUAUGAACAAAAGCACAUACAGUUGCGGUAGAAUGAAACGUGCACCAUCUUUGCGCGCCGCUGGUGCUACCCUCACUCUCUCUCUGCGAUCUUCGAAAAAGCCUAAGCAAAUGGCGUAAAGAGGCCGUGUCUUCUUAUAACGACUGCUAUUAUAUACAUAUAUAUGAUUUUGCAAAACCCUAACCCUAGUUGCUUGAGCUAUUAAUGUCAAUGGGCUUUCGUGAAAAAUCGCUGGCCCAUUUCAUAACAUUUUAAUGCGCCCGUUUGUAAUAUUUAUUUAUUUAUUUAUUUAUUUUAGUGAUAUUAUUAAUAGAUCAUCACGAGCAUGGCUAUUACUUGUAUGUUAUAUAUGUUUAAUUUCCUCCAUAAUCUCAAAAUUAAAUUUAGCGUUUGGAAGGUGAUAUUCAAUAAGAUAAGAUUUUUUUUUUCUUUUCCUUUUUUUCUUUUAACUUUUUGUGCUGGGCUUUUAUUCAUUUCCUUUUUACUCUUAUUUUUAUAUGCUAGAGAUUCAUUACUAUAAUAUGUUACAUGACUUGCACAAGAAAUAACAACCAACAGUUCACACAUUAAGCAUGUAAUGGAAUAUAACCAACAAUUCAUAUUAUUGUCGUUGUCGUUGCAUUAAGCGCACUUAAAUUGAUUUUGGUUCAACAAUUCAUGUGUUUUGAGGAUCAAUAAUUGUUAUUUUUCAAAAUAACAACUGGGUUUCUGAUUUGCUAAUACUUUCCAAGAAAGGACACAAUUUGUCCAUUUAUAUCAAAUAGGUCUAUAUCCCUAAUGAAAUGAGUGGAAUACCCUUUCAUUCUUCAAAGUUAUAGCUACAUUCUAAGGGUACCUUUGAUCAGCUUAUGAGAAUAGAUCUACAAGUUUCAUGCAUCAAAUAAGUGGGGAUAACAAGCUAUAUAUGUACAAAAAGAAUUAUAUGAAAGAGCUCAAAUAAUACAGGUUCAAUAGAUGUGAACACAUAAUUUUUUUUUUAAUACAUGAAAGUAUUCUUUACUAUCUUAAGUGUAUUUUUUUCUUCUUGAUUGUCAAUAUGUUUAACGAUAAUAGAUAUUUAUGUUUGUUUUCCUACGUUGAAUGUAUCAUGACAAUAUACCAUUGUAAUGUUAUGUUUUUUCAAUGGGACUUAUGUUUAGGUUAAAAAAAAAUGUUGUAUCACAUUUCACUAUUUCAUUAUUCAUGUAAUACAUUAGGACUUUUCCAAAUAUCAAAUCUGGUAGUGUUUAAAUUGAGAUGCCAAUAAAAAGGGAACCAACAAGCAAAGGCGAUUAUAAAGCCCGUAUGUAUAUCUAACUUUAGCUCACCAUAGAUCUCAUAAGGCCUACAAGAUACCUUCACACCAAAUUGAAGGAGAGAAAACUUAAUUAAAAAGAAAUCCCCCACCCAUCUAAGUUUACUUACCGCCAAACAUACAUAAAGACUUUGGAAAAUUCAUAUGACUUAGCCCAAAAAAUGGAUGCAUUGCACGGUGUGAUUAUGAAGAAAUAGAUCAUUUUCGCCACAAUAAUUAGGCAAAGCCAGUAAUUGUGAAGCUGACAUUCCAUGACAUCUUACACUACUGAUGUCAAGAGGAUCAUGACUGACUUUAAGCCUUAAUUUUCUCGAUUGAUUGGACAUUCGAUCAGAUCAGUAUUUUUAUAGGCAGAUUGAUAAAAGGCAGUGAACAUGUUGAGAUAAGCUUACAACAUUCAGAAGCAGCCCCGUGUUUUCAAUGUAAUUUUUAGGUACGGUCUUUAAGGAAAUAAUGAAUGGCCGACUGGGGGCUGCUAUGGUGCAUUGCAAGGAAGAAUGCCUUUUUCACCAUUAAGGUUUGAUGUAAUAAUUUAUCUGAUUUUUAUUUUUUAAAUAAUAUUUUAAAAAUGCCUUUCGUUAAUUAACUGUUAGUAUGGAUACUUUUUUAAAAAAUUUUUUAGUUUAUUUCUAACCUUAAUGUGAAUAGUGAUACUUGAUUGAAAUAUUAUUGUUAUUAUUUGUUCAAAAAUUUAUUUGACUUCAUUGAAAAAACACACAUACCCAUAUAUAUUGCACACACUCACACACAAAUGUUGCAUAUUCUUUAGUGUUAUUUUUGUUUCAUUAAAUUAUUCUUAAACUAAUUUUAGAUCUAUGUAUAAAGUUAGAUUUUAUUUAAUUACCUUUUAUAUUUUUAUUUUAAAAUAAUUUGAAUUUAUUCAAUCUUAUUUUACGUUUAAUGAAUUAUAAAUUAAAUUAACUAUAAAUUCACAAAAGGAUAUGUUGAAUUAUUGUUUGAAUAAUAGAAAAGAAAUGAACUAUUUUAUCAUACCCGAGGGUAAAACGGACUUUCUCCUACAUUAUAAUUUUAUAAUGUAUUAUAUAUUAUCCUAAGAGUAGCAUUUAAAAAGUUGAAUCAAUAAAACUAUUUUUAAAGUUAUAAAAAUAACUUUUAGGCUUUAAGUUUUGUGCAUCAUACCAAGCCCUAAUAUAAUAAAAGCGAGUCUUCUGCCGCCCCCACAUUUGUUGAAUACGGAAGCAACCUCAAGUUCUAACAGAACAAGGUUAUGUUUGGGAGUAAGAUGCUGUAACUUUUAACCUGCAGUUGAUGUGGAGUAACAAUUAUAACUGUGGAAUAAGUUGGGAAAAAAAAAUUGCUAAGCUGCUAAAGCCCAACUACAAGUAUUACCAAACACUUUUAAAGUCUAUCAACCUCACCACACUCCAAAACAGACUACAAGUUGGAUCAAAUAUUUGACAAAAUUUAAAAUAAUGAGCGGGGAGCUUCUAACACUCCUUUAAAAUUCUUAUAAAGAGCAAAAAAUUUUCUUAGGUAAAAUUACAAAAAAGAGCAAAAAAUUACAAUAGAAAUUUAGUUAAUCUUACUAUCAUUUAGAAUAAAUUAAACAAUAGUAAACAUACUGUUUCAUGAUAAAAAAUUUUAUUAUUAAGUAAUUUAUUUCUUAAUUAUUCAAAAUUUUUAUAUAAAGUAAUUAUAUCAUAUAUUAAGUUAUAUUAAGUUCUAGUUCAAUUAAAUUUAUAUUUAUGCUUUGACAUAAUUUUACAAACUGAGAUUUUAAAAGAAUACUAAUAAUGUGUUUAUUUGAGGGUUUAGGGAAUGAGAAUAUAACUCAUGUUUACUUGAUAAAAUGUAAUUUGUGAAUGUGAAUAAAAUAUAUGGGUCCCAUAUAAUUUGAGAUUAUUGGGAAUGAAAAUGAGGGAAUGAGAAUGAAAUAUAUGUUUACUUUUGUAUCCCUCUAAUUUUUUCAUAUUUUCCAAAUUACCCUUAUUCAAAUCACAAUUAAUUUUAUUAUUUUAAAUGUCAUUAAUAAUAAUAAUAUUAAUUAUUAUUAAUUAUUGUUAUUAUUAUUUUAAUAAUAUUAUCAUUAUUAACAAUAAAAAUAAUGAUAAAAAUAAUUAAUUUAUCAUUAUUAACAAUAUUAUUAUUAUUUUAAAAAAUAAUAAUAACAAUAAUUAAUAAUAACUAAAACAAUAAAGUUAAUAAAAUUUAAUAAUAAUAAUGUAAUUUUCAUUAUUUAGAUACAUGUAUAAAUAUUAUUAUAAAAUAUAAUUAAUUAAAAAAAUAAAAUUAAUAAUAAUAAUAAAUAAUGUUAAUAAUGAUAAUAUUAAUAAAAUUAAUAAUAACAAUAAUUAAUAAUAACAAAAAUAAUAAAGUUAAUAAAAUUUAAUAAUAAUAAUAAGAAAUGUUAAUAAUGAUAAUAUUAAUAAAAUUAAUAAUAACAAUAAUUAAUAAUAACUAAAAUAAUAAAGUUAAUAAAAUUUAAUAACAAUAAUAAUAAUAAAAAUAAUAAAAAUAAUAAUGAUAAUAUUAACAUUAAAUUUUAUUAACUUUAUUAUUUUAGUUAUUAUUAAUUAUUGUUAAUAAUAAUAAUAACAAUAAUAAUAUUAUUAAUAAUGAUAAAUUAAUUAUUAAUACUAUAAAUAUUUUAAUAAAUUAAUUUUCAUUAUCACCUCGUUCCCAUUUAUUUUGCUAAAUAAACACAUCAUUCCAAAACAUUCUCAUUCUCAUUUAUUUUUGUCAAAUAAACAUUAAAAUUUCAUCUCUAAUCCAGCUCAUUCUCAUUCUAAUUUUCAUUCUCAUUUAUUUUUAUCAAAUAAACAUUAAAAUUUCUUUCUCAUUCCAACCUAUUCUCAUUCUAAUUUCCAUUGAUUAUGCUACUAAUUUCCAUUGAUUAUGCUACGCUUUUCACACGUGUGCGCGAGGACCGUCAACGAUUCUAAUCUUGUGUGAAAAAGCCCAAGCACAAGCCCAAUGAGAGAGCUAAUGACAAACCCAUCUAAAGCCCAAGCCCAAGCUUAUUCUUGAUAGAUGAAACUCUCCAGGAGCACAAAUUUUUUGACACACAUCACAUCUAUAACAAAAGCACGCUUCAAUCGCAUCGGUAUGCCAUUGCAGUAGCGACAAUUUUCCAUUAAAUCUAAUAUAUAUAUAUGCGCACAAAAAAGCUAACUACACGGAGAUUUAAUUUAGGCAUAAAAAAGCUUAAGGAUCAAAGAGUACAUCCCAAAAAACAAAAACAAUUCUCUCAAUGAGUAGUCUGUAAAGCACAAAGCAAGCAAAACCUCCUAUUAUAGCAAGAAAAUUAGCAAAAACAUAAAACUUAAGAGAAGAUAAGUCGAUUUGCAAAGUUCAGCCAGAGUUCCUACUGUAACCAUAAAAAAACUAUCUGCUCACACAAGGUAAUUUAUUCUUCAUCCUCUUCAUCUCCAUCUCCACCUGCGGCCUUCUUGGCAGCAGCCUUAAUGUUCCUUCUCUUCACUCUUCCGGGGCGCCCGCCUCCAAAUGGACUUGUGAGUGAGAAUUCAAUGUGCUUCUGGGAAUCAACCCUCACUACAAAUGAGGGAAUGUUGACAAGCUGCCUUCCAACCCUGAUAAUCAGAAAUAUAGAUAUUCCUUAAUAUACAAAAUAACCACGCUUAAAGACCUCAAAACAAUCUUACUAAAACAUUAAGGUUAGAACAUCAAAGCAACCCAGCUCGAAUAAACCUUCUAAAACAAGAACAACGUAUCAUUACUUCAUACAUUCAAAGAGAAACAGUCGACUCAAAGGGACAGGGCAUAGCAACGUUAAAGUAAUCAAAUAGAUAAAAAAGCACAACACAUUUUAUGAAAAAAAACCAAAAGCAGUCCUGAUGUUAGCUGUGACAGAAUUUGAAUACACCGAUUAACAGAGCCAAAAGCAUUUGCUGGGUAGUGCAUGCAGGGCAUAUUAAUGCCCCAAGAAUACAAAGGUAAACUCAAGUACAAUCAAACUUGCUAAACAUUAUAAUAUCCAAAAGAUCGUCCACAAUACUGGUAAACCAUACAUGCUAGAAUCAUUACAUAUAUUAUGACACUACAAUUAUCAAUUAGUGGGCAAGUUUCAAAUAUUAUAAUUAUAACCUGAACGUGUAUAAAAACACAAUUCACAAACUCAAGAUAAUUUUACAAAAUUUAAAGCCAAAAGCAAAUGUCAGCUAAACAACCCAAAGGCAAGUAGAAAAUAAUCAAAUAAUUAAAGAUCAGUAAGUAAUGGUUAAAACCAACAAACUCAGUAAUAGACAUCGAGAUGGAACAAGCAAUUUAAAUUCAUGUUGGUCAAAUGUUAGAAUAAUAGAAAAGAAACAAAUGUGAAAAAGCAUUUGAAGAUUUUACAGACACUGAAAAAAGCAGAUAUGAACUAAAAGGAAACACAGUGCAUAAAUUAUACCUA
rnacentral:lncRNA from 1 species